rfam:Agrobacterium radiobacter K84 chromosome 1, complete sequence.
GUUCUCCUGGCGCGUCCUGAAACCACAGGUGUUUCCUCCCUUGCCUGUUGGUGAUGCGCCCGCCUUGCCUCGCUCGCUGCGACAAGCUGAGCGAGGCAUCUU